rnacentral:rRNA from 1 species
CGGAGGAACGGGCACACCUGGCGCGCUGCCUCGAGGCCGCGCUCGAGCAGGUGAGGAGGGAGUCGAUGCGGCAGGGCGCGGCGCUGGACGAGCUGAGGCGGCGGCUCGAGCGGCGGCGGGCGCGCGCGGACAAGCUCCUCGCCACCAGGCGGAGGGCCGCCGAGGGCGUCGAGCACCGCAAGGAGCAGAUGCAGGCGCAGAUCGAGCGGGUGCUGCCGCCGCGCACCGACAAGUGCAGGUACCUGCCUGCCCGCCCGUUUCUUCCUCUCAAUGCGAGACUGGAGGCCGAUCUUGCCGGUGAGGAGACGGUGGCGGCGCCGACGAGCCGUCCCCCUUGGCGCCGUUGCCGCUGGGCACCGAGACAAAGGAGUGCUGGAUGCCAACGCCUCGAGGCCUGCCUCAAGUACAGAUCAUCAGCGGAAAAUAUUCAAUCAACAUACGACCACUGAGGGGAUCCAUCGGUGGUAUUCCUAUUGCUCUCGCAGUCUCUACAUUUCAUCCUUUUUUUGGAUUUUGCGAUCUUUUCAAAUAAGAGAUGGGCAACAAUGCUUUUUCUCCAUGCUAGCAAUAUGAAUGAUGAAGGAGAAGAGCAAAGAACACAAAUCUUCCCCACGGCUAUUGAUUUUAUGCACAUCGGCUGCAUCAUGUGAUAUGGUAAACCAACAGAGGUAUGUGGAUAAUCCAAACUGCUUAUUUUUCGUCCGACACCGCCCCACCUUCAGUGACCUGAUUGCUAACAAAAUGUCACAGUAGGUUUGUUUCGAAGUAUCAGUUCAAAAUAUGGCGAUUGAAUAAAAAAACACUAUCUUAUUUUUUAUCUCAUGGAUCAUACUUUAAAGUUAAUAAUUUUUAUAAUGCUCUGUAAUAGAGUCGUGUUGGUUGUGUAAUUCUUGAGUGAGUUACAUGUUCUCUCCAUCACCCCCUUUAUUUUUUGCAAAUCAAUUGCCGUCUUCAUGUGUUUCAGCUGCUAGGACUGAAGGCCGAAGUUAUGUAUGUUUAAUCUCAGCAAUUUAGUUAUAAGUCUAAUUAAUUCAUACCGUCUCUGAAAGAUUCAGUUCUAAUUGGUUGCAUACUUGCCAAAGAUCAUAUGACACAGUAGCCAUGGACGCCACAUCAGCUUGGGAACAUGGCCACAACAGAUUGGUAUCUUCUCUUCUGAAAUUGGUUGCAUACUUGCCAAAGGUCGCAUGACUCAGCAGCCAUGGACGCCACAUCUGCUUGGGAAUGUGGCCGCAACAGAUUGGUAUUUGUUGGAUGGCAACUCUAAGCUGCAUGUUCAUUGGGAGAAUCAUGAUGAAUCUUUGAUGAACACUGUCAAAGAUGAAAAGGCGAAUUCUUUGAUUCCCCGGGCUGUCAGGGAUUUUGUACUUCCAGCAGGUUUUCUAGGUGAAUGUUGGCAUCCCCGUGUGGUUUGGUUAUGCAUCGAUGCAUUGCUUUUGCUCUUUGUCAUGGAGUACUAACUGUGGAGGUUCAGGUUUACAAUCUUAGAAAUGCAGUGAUUGAUGUGUUUUCUAAUCGUAAUGCAGCAAACAAAUUGUUUUGCAAGUUAUGUACUUUAAUUAUCUGUAUCUUACCAUUCUUACCAAGUACUGUCAAAUGUACAGCUUGAUUUUGUAUAUGUAUUUCCCUCAGUUUCUUGUAGGUUCCUGCAUAAGAGGUCAUUAUUGCAGAGUUGGAGACUGACACUAUGUUUAUCAGUACAUGCUAUUGGAAUUCCCAACAAACUUGACAGGAUGGAUCAGUCACACGUUGGUUACAUCAAGUCUUCUAAAGGUAUCCCGUAAUCUAUUAAUCAAGAUGUUUGCAGAACUACAUAAUGUUGUAGUGACUGAACGAUUACCUGAUAAAUUAAAUUCAGUAAGUAUAUCAUUUACAGUAGCAUCUUAUUCUUAUAUGAUGUAAUAUAUGAUCAUAUGGAUUGCAGUAUUUGAUAGCUCCAAAAUAACUUCAAGAUUUUGCCACGUGCUCUCAAACAAUCGUAGUCCGAAAAUUUGGUGGCCAGUUGCUGCUAUCUCUACUCUGCUUCGUCCUUUCGUAAUGGAAAUAAGAAAUCUUGAUUGCUGCCAACAUGAAAUUCUAACUGAAUUUGUUAUUCGGCGGGCAAAUCCAACAUCUUUUUGUACUGUAUUUGCAUGUUCCAGGAUAAUUUGGUGGCAAAAGAGCUACGUCGUUUCUCACUAGACCAACAGACAAUAGUAGUGAUACCUUUGCAUUUAUAUAGUACCAUAUUUACUCAUCUGUAUACACUGUUCCUUUCAUUCCUCACACCACAAGUAUCUAACGGCCGGAUAGGUCCAGUCCAGCCGAGACACAUAUAUUCCAGUCCAACAUACUCCCUCCAUCCAAAAAAGCUUGUCCCAAGUUUUUUCGGAUGGAGGGAAUAUAUAGUCCAGUCACACAUGCUCUAACGUGAUUUCACGAGAGAUAGUUAGGCCAGCAACAGUAUAUCCGUAAAGAAUAGCGACAGCUAAAGGAAACCAUUCAGCAGGUAAGAAUGAGAUAGACUUUUCAGUGCCAGGCAACCAUUGCGUUGUAGAGAAGUGGAACAACAUUCAUCGUACUGCUAUUGUUAAUCGAAAGAACUUUCUUUUGUUAACAUGGUACCCAGUAACGUGUGCAUAUGCAUUUUUCUCCUGUAGUCCUAGAGGGAUAAAGACACAUAUAAUUACGAUGGAGGUGACAGGCCUGAAAAUGUGAGAAUUGAAGCAAUAUAUUCCCUUGUAUAUAUGUUUUCUCUUUUGAAAUAUCUCAAUAGUUUUCCAAUUUGUUUCCUGUAAAUCUCAUAUUUUAAUACUCCUUAGACCUUAGUAAUGCAUAGGUGUAAUAUUUGUUGAUAUUGCAAUUUUGAAGGAUCUGCUUUUCUUGUAUAGAUCUAUUUUUUUAAUCUUGAAGGCAGUACGAGAGGCCCUAAUGACAUAUAUACAGUACUAACAAGAAUAUGGGGGCUUUCAUAACUUGAGGUAUUUACCUAGAUCCUUGAGAUGCUAUUCGUAUUGGCCUGAAUGCAGUUGAGUUUUGAAUCAUAAACAAGCUGGGAGAUUUGUCUUCCACAUAGUAGUUUUUAGUGCAUGCUCGGAGAACAAGAUAAGAGGAGAGGCUUGAAUCUUGAGAUGACAAGGGUAGUCACCUGCUGCGACUAAAGGAAGGAGGUCAAUGAAGCAAAAGGCACGAAAAGGAAGGAGCAGCGCCACAUGGACGAUGUUGUCGGCAGCGCUUUGGAAGGAUUCGCUCCAGAGAAGUUACAGUAGUCAGCCAUCGCCCAAGGGAAGUAGGGAGGAUGUCGUUCGAAACGCCUGGGUCUAGAGGAGUGUGUCCAAGUGGUGGCCGAGGAUGGCGACGAGCAAUUGGGUUGGGCAUUUAUCAACGUGAUGGCGUCGUUCCUCAAGGUACCAACACCCUUGUUUUGACCCAAUGUUUCUUGGCUAACUGUGCAUGGCUGGGACUGUUUCAUGCAUAUGGGGGACGACUCAUGCCAUCCACUUCCAAAGCAAUAAGACUUGAAAGGAGAAAAUAUUGGCAAAAAGUCCCUCAAAAUUCGUAGUCUGGGUGUAGAAGGUUUGGGGAUUUUGAGCCGGAUGGGCCAUUGAUGGUUGCGGUUGGCUUGGAUAGGGAAUGUAGAGAUAGUAAGUGAAGAGGAGCAGGAGAACGAAGACGAAGAAGAAUAGUGGUUUAUAGGCAGAAAAAAAUUAAGAAUGUUGCUUAAUGUGCAUGAGGAUCCAAACAAUGUAUAUUUGACACGAUUAAAGUUGACUCAUGUCGAGCCUCAGGAUGGUGGUGGAGCGGUCAUGAUGGACAGUUAUUGUGCAAGAAUUUGUUAAACGCAUCAAAUAGAUAUUAAUUUGUAACAAAUUUUCAGUUCGAUCAUCGCACUAUAUGUAUGCAUUGUCAAAUUGCCUUUUAUUAAUAGUUACAAUGUAAGUGAAGUGGACUUAAAUUAUUACUCGAUUAUAC